CUGGAUAGGUGUAUUGCAUCAAAUGGAGAGCACUUUGAAGGUGACUGAAGUUUAAACAUAAGAAUAAAUACAAUUUUUUAUAAGUCCAGGUUUUUGGGGGAUUCCCCUCGUGUAAAAUGUGAGUACUUAUACUAGGUCUAAAGUAAUCAUUAGGUCCUUGGCUCCUUUGACAUUACACUGGGAUUUAUUUUCUCACAUCACCCACAGGGAAGAGUGUAUACUAGCAAAUUGAUAGUUUUUAGCCAAAAAAAAACGUGUUUCUCAUUUUUUUACACAUCAUCUGAAGCAUUUAGAGGAUAACUAAGAUGUGGUUAAAAAUAAUAACACACAAAACUAAAGGUGUUUUUGGUUUAUUCACAGUAUUAUCUAAUGAACAUUCAAUCAGAAAACAUUGAAUAUAUCAGGUAGGUACCAUGCUAGCUGGACCCAGGGAGACAAUGAUAAAUAAAAAUUGCCUUUUAAAGAAUAGCAUCCCUAUGUAAACACAGCCGCAGUUCAUUGUGUUGAGUUCAGUAAGAGAAGUGAACAAAGUAACGUGUCCAAAAUGUCCCAGGAGGAAGUCUUCAAGUAAAUGUAGUAGUUAUAGCACAUUAAAAAAAAAAAAAAAAAGACGCCAUUCCACACACAGGAAGAGUAAGGAUAUAUGGAGAAAAUGGCAAGAUGCAAGAAAUUCCCUUGGAGCCAGCAGGUUUAUGGUCUGUGGUUAGAGCACUUUAAAAAGUUGGCUGUCUUCUAUGCUCUAAAAUGGUAGAGACACAUUUCCCUUAAAAUUGUUCAUCUGGAUAAAAUGUGUCCACAUUAAAAGUUUCUGAAACUAAAUGACACCCAACAUUUGUAGCAUUUUGAUAGGGUGGGAUAAGUAUCCAGAUAAGCUGGUUAGUAGCUAACAAUUGAAUUUUUUUAUGUUGUGUGCUGAUUCCUUCACACAAAUAACAUUCCUCUGAGCUAGGUACUGCUAUCCCCAUUUUGCAAAGGAGUAAACUAAAGCCCACAAAUUCAACCUGCAUAAGAUUGAGUCCUGUGGCUGGGAAGAAUAAAGUGGUAGAAUUGAGAGAUCCUCCUAACUCAUCGUACUGGGAGGUUCAUGAUAAAUCCCAUAGGGCUGGAAUUCUAUCUGAGAAUCAAAAGCACUGUACAAAUUAAAUAGGCAAGUUGAGAUUCUGGUGAACAUACCUACAACAUUAGAAUUUUAGUGUUUGUCCAAAGGAAUUGACCUCAGUCCAAUGGUAAUUGACCUCAGAUAAACAAUAAUCGUGUUUUAUUCCCCCAAUCCUAUUUUUUAUAUAGAGUACCAGAAACUCCUACUUGGAGCUACAAAUCAAGCCAUUGUUUAAAGGUCAGUGUAAUUAGUAAGAUGGACUCUAAAUGUGCUCAGUUUAUAUAGGUAGCACUCAAAAUGGAAGCCAUUUUUUUAGGGCAGAGAUUUGAAAGCUGUGACCUUGAGGACUUUGGUGUAGCAGUUCAGGAAGAUGGAGGAAAUUCCCUUAGUAUUAGCAUGGUAACACUUGAAAACAACAAAAGGAGCAUUUUGUACCAGAAGCAAAAGUGAAAUCUGAACUUUGAGAAGGGAUAAUGUGAACCAUUCUGGCCAGUACAUCAUAGGGAUGCUGGCCAGUUAGCAUGAGGGCAGAUCCAGUACAAUCUUCUCAGCCUCAGCACUCCAUUCUGCCUGGCUCAUUUGUAUUGGGUCUUCAUCUAGUGGGAUAUCAGUUGUCCUUAGGGGCCUCUCUCUUCACCUUCAGGAGUCCCUGUGGUUAUACCCAGAAUUGAUACUUUCUGGCAAGGCCAAAUUGACAUUCUCACAACUGGGCACAGAAAUCUAAAAACAAACAUUUAAAGCAAUCCACUGAGCACUUUGUAAAAGCUACCUGAGGCCUUGUAUGGUGUCAGCUGGCUGUCAUUACCCCAGACUAGCCUUUCAUGUACCUGGUGCAUGUGCACUGCUCACCUAUGUGCCCCAGUGUGGUUUUACACAGUAGCUCAGCUUGGUGAAAUUAGGUUUAUAUGGUGAUCUAAUUGCAAGGGUGUUAUACAUGUCUUAGUUCCAUUUACUCAUUAGUCAUGUUGCCUCAAUGCUAAGAUCCCCCAUCAGACUUUAUUUCUGAAAUGUUUGUUCAAUUUCAUGAUUUUUUUUCAAAACUAAAUAGCAUAUCUUAGCAUCAGUGGCAUUUCAGAAUUGAAAAAAAUACGGUGUUUUCCAUUAAUUUGUUCCCAUAAUUUCCCAAUAGUUCAUUGUCCUAUAAAAACAGGUAUCUGAAGUAUAAUCUUUUGGUAAUUGCCAGUAGCAGUUUUUACUGAUGAUUCAGAGGGAAUCUUCAGAAGAAAGUACAAGUCUAGCCCCACCCAGUUAUGUACUUCAUGAGGAUUGGUCAGACAGGAAGACCAGUGGAAGCUGAGAGCAUGAGUGGUUUGGUGUGAUCUGACUGUAAGUAGAAGACUCACUUAAAAAGAAGUUGGAGAAAUUAUGAUAAGGUCUUCACUGUUGUUAAUUCUGAGUGGCAGAAAAAAAUGGGCGUUUGGUAGGAAAAUGAGAUGUUUGGUAUCUUUUUCAGUAUAUUAUAGCUUCCCCUAAGUAACUUUUUACAAAGGAAAGUACAUACAUUGAAACACACUUUUCAGUUUUGGGAACUUAUUGAAAGACCCAGAAAAGCAGAACUUCUUUCUACCCCAUGUAGCCUUUUGGCACAUCUUAUCUCUGAGUGGAGCUGGACCCAAAGCCUUCAAGGUCCUAAUAGCCUCGCAUGCUGUGUCUGUAUUGCCACCAGGGUGGUUGACAUUUCCCCCAGGACUGUAGAGCUCUCGCUGUUUCUCACACAUCCACCCUGUCCUGGUGGUGCUAAGUGUGAGGGUGAUGGUAAGAAAGGUGACACCUCUUUUCUGGGAAGCCUGCUGUCAGACCUGCAAGUCAUAGAGCAGAAGCUGACAAACUCCAGCUCUGAGGGCGGGCAAAAGCAGCAAACUUUGGCAUUCCCCCUCCCUUUUUU